CAGAGUGGUGGACUAAAGGCAGCUGAAAGGUCUAGAAAGACAAAGUCUGGGUCCCAGAAAAGGAGGGAAAGAAAGGAGAGAGAGAAGAAAGGGCGACAGUAUGUCACCCAAUUUUUCUCCAGGAAAGACCAAUAUUUGUUGAAAAACCCUCAGAUGGGUACAGUCCACAGCCGUUCCUCCCAUACUGUGCUUAUCGAGCGCUGAACACUACAGGGGCCCACAGUUGUCAACAGAGCUGUCAUCAUUCACAGAAUGGACCUCCAUAAGGAUGAGAGUGCACAUCACAGCUGCAGCUCCAUGCAGCAGAAAGUGGAGAUGCAGACUGUCAGACGCAAUACAAGGGCAAACUUUUGGUGAUUCUAGAGGAUAGAGUCGAUUCUCAGUAAACAUGGUGCUCAGGGUUAAAAACAAACACUUUUAGUUUGGGUUUUCAGAACAUUGAUUUGAUUUUCUGUGCCUUCCUUUUAAAUUCAGGCAUGAAAGUGUCUUUUUUUUUUGCUUCAUUAAAUUUGCUUAAAUUCAUCUCCAUCAUAGUAUUUUAUUGAAGCAAAUUAAGUGUUGAAUUAAAUAAUAAGUAUAAAUAUUCACUGAAUCAGCCUAAAAUUGAGUUUAACAAAUGAAUAUAAAUGCAGGCAAUCAGUGCUGAUUACUCCCUUUACAUUUGAAAUGUGAUCUGUUAUUAAGGUAAUCAUACAUGAAUACCAAUUAACACUGAAAACACAGAAAUGAAAGCUUAGUUUUAAUGGACUCAUUCUUCUUGGAGAGCUGUGUGCCCAGGGUUGGUUUCACUUUUCAAAUUUCACAGAAAUCAUGAAUGCAAGAGAACGCCUAAAUCUCUCUGGAAACAUGAGGAAGGUGUGUGAAUGAGAUAAAGAAAGAAAAAGGUAGAUGACUGAGCAUCUGAGUUUGAUUCAAUUUCCUGAGCAGUCACAUUCGUCUCAUUCUGUCGCUCCACAGACGUCUUACAUCGAUUACACACAUCCUCACACAGGUUUCCUUUAUCUGUCCUGACGUUUAUUCUAUUUUCUGCACCCUCAGACACCUUACGUCACAGACGUUCAGAGGACGCCUGUGAAUUAAAAGGGAGGAGUUGAUGAAAGGGUGAUUGAGGAAAAGUAAGGAGAGGCAGACAAAAAGAAUAGACGCACUAUUUCAGGGAUAUCAAAAAAUAGCAAGUUGCAGAGUCAUGGAGCAAAAACAUAAAAAGGACAGGAAAUAAAUCGGUGGUGGAGAGAAAGAAAGGAGUGAGAGGGGAAGAUGGAGAAAGUCAUAAAUAAAUCAGAGGAGUGAAAGCGGAGGAAGAGAGAGAAAAAAAGGAAAAGGUGGUGCACUCUGGUUGUUUACGGAAAUUUCCACCGUCCUGUUGUAGAGUGUUAGACUCCGUUUGGCCUUUCACUGAGUGCUGCUGAUCAAUACAUCAGUAAGAAGAGCUGCCAAUACCACAGAGACACAGGCCUUCCUUUCCACUGCUCAAAUAACAAUAAUCAAUCUGUGCCUGUGAAGUUAUCACACUGAAUUAAAUGUGGUUUCAACCUUUGUGUUUAUUCUGUCUUUAAAUAUUCAGGAAUGAAGUGUGCUUAUUAAUUGUAUUGUUUUAUUAUUGAUGUGUUUGUCUUGCAGAGCUGUAAUCCAGUGCUUUCUUCUGUUCUUAUGGUGCUUACUGUCAGCUUUCUUAAUAUUGGCAGUGAGAGACACUUUGAGCGGCAUGUUUGUAUGAAAGUUCAGUUAAACUGAGCUAAAACACUCUCUGAAAUGAGCCCUUUCAACAGACAACUACCAUUUCCUUUAGACAUCUUCCAGCUGUAAAUCUUUGAAUAGACACAGAAUCUCUAACAGCUGAAAAGUGUGAAUUAAACAUGUGUUCUUGA